CCUACGGGUGGCUGCAGUGAGGAAUAUUGGUCAAUGGCCGUAAGGCUGAACCAGCCAAGUAGCGUGAGGGAAGACUGCCCUAUGGGUUGUAAACCUCUUUUAUGCGGGGAUAAAGGUGUCCACGUGUGGAUGUUUGCAGGUACCGCAUGAAUAAGGACCGGCUAAUUCCGUGCCAGCAGCCGCGGUAAUACGGAAGGUCCGGGCGUUAUCCGGAUUUAUUGGGUUUAAAGGGAGCGUAGGCCGGUCUUUAAGCGUGCCGUGAAAUUUUGUGGCUCAACCAGGGGAGUGCGGCGCGAACUGGAGACCUUGAGUGCGCGGAAGGAAGGCGGAAUUCGUGGUGUAGGGGUGAAAUGCUUAGAUAUCACGAAGAACCCCGAUGGAGAAGGCAGCCGUCCGGAGCGUAACUGACGCUGAGGCUCGAAAGCGCGGGUAUCGAACAGGAUUAGAUACCCGUGUAGUA
rnacentral:rRNA from 1 species